UGGAUGACUCUCGGCAACGGAUAUCUCGGCUCUCGCAUCGAUGAAGAACGUAGCGAAAUGCGAUACCUGGUGUGAAUUGCAGAAUCCCGUGAACCAUCGAGUCUUUGAACGCAAGUUGCGCCCGAGGCCAUCCGGCUAAGGGCACGCCUGCCUGGGCGUCACGC
rnacentral:rRNA from 3 species